UACAGAGGUCUCAAGCGUUGUUCGGAAUCACUGUGCGUAAAGGGUGCGCAGGCGGCCAAGUGUGUGAGGCGUGAAAGCCCGGGGCUUAACUCCGGAAUUGCACCUCAAACUACAUGGCUAGAGCAUUGGAGAGGGUAGCAGAAUUCACGGUGUAGCAGUGAAAUGCGUAGAUAUCGUGAGGAAUACCAGAGGCGAAGGCGGCUACCUGGACAAUUGCUGACGCUCAGGCACGAAAGCGUGGGGAGCAAAAGGG
rnacentral:rRNA from 1 species